CAAGAUGAGACUUCCCAUCAUUUUAAAUGAGUAAGAUCCCUCAGAGACGAUGAGGUUAAUAGGUUUGAGGUGGAAGCGUGGCGACACGUGGAGCUGACAAAUACUAAUCGAUCGAGGACUUAACUAACUU
rnacentral:rRNA from 1 species